AGUGAACGCUGGCGGUAGGCCUAACACAUGCAAGUCGAACGGCAGCACAGUAAGAGCUUGCUCUUACGGGUGGCGAGUGGCGGACGGGUGAGGAAUACAUCGGAAUCUACUUUUUCGUGGGGGAUAACGUAGGGAAACUUACGCUAAUACCGCAUACGACCUACGGGUGAAAGCAGGGGAUCUUCGGACCUUGCGCGAUUGAAUGAGCCGAUGUCGGAUUAGCUAGUUGGCGGGGUAAAGGCCCACCAAGGCGACGAUCCGUAGCUGGUCUGAGAGGAUGAUCAGCCACAAUGGGACUGAGACACGGUCCAGACUCCUACGGGAGGCAGCAGUGGGGAAUAUUGGACAAUGGGCGCAAGCCUGAUCCAGCCAUACCGCGUGGGUGAAGAAGGCCUUCGGGUUGUAAAGCCCUUUUGUUGGGAAAGAAAAGCAGCAGGUUAAUACCCCGCUGUUCUGACGGUACCCAAAGAAUAAGCACCGGCUAACUUCGU
rnacentral:rRNA from 1 species